AUAUUUGCAGGGGAUACCGAUCAUACGACCAAGAUUGCGGUUUCUCCAGGGUGAGACUCUUGCAUUGCACAGUUUGAUGGGUUCAUUCCUGUGAUUUCCCCAAAUGUAGGAAACUCAGUUAUCUAAUUUCUGACAGUGAGGGACAAUGUUUGAGCAGUUAUCUGAA